rnacentral:rRNA from 2 species
UACGUAGGGGGCGAGCGUUGUCCGGAAUUAUUGGGCGUAAAGGGUUCGCAGGCGGUCUGAUAAGUCAGAUGUGAAAGGCUAUGGCUUAACCAUAGUAAGCAUUUGAAACUGUCAGACUUGAGUUAAGGAGAGGAAAGUGGAAUUCCUAGUGUAGCGGUGAAAUGCGUAGAUAUUAGGAGGAAUACCAGUGGCGAAGGCGACUUUCUGGACUUAAACUGACGCUGAGGAACGAAAGCGUGGGGAGCAAACA